rnacentral:tRNA from 1 species
GGGCCGUUAACUCAGCGGGAGAGUGCCAUCCUCACACGGUGGAAGUCGUUGGUUCAAAUCCAACACGGCCCACCA